rnacentral:rRNA from 1 species
GAUGAACGCUGGCGGCGUGCUUAAUACAUGCAAGUCGAACGGACGGGCCCUACGCUUGCUGCUCGCUCGUUUGCCGAGCGCGUGUGUAUCACGUGUGUAUACUCUACUUAUCUGUCGGAUAUCAUUAGGAAAAAGCGGAUCAUACAGCGUAUAAUAUUCUGCAGCACGGUGUUGGUAGGUAAAAUUCGGUCUUUGGGUGUGUUUUAGAUGGAUACCCGCUUCCUGGUGGGGUAGUGGCUUUCCAAGCCUUUGACGGGUAGCCGGCCUGAGAGGGUGACCGGCCACACUGGGACUGAGGUGCGGCCGAGACUCCGACGGGAGGCAGCAGUGGGGAAGAUUGCAGAAGGGACGGAAGCCUGAUGCAGCAACUCCGCGUGCGGGAUGACGGCCUUCGGGGUGUAAACCGCUUUCGCAUGUGACGAAGCGUGAGUGACGGUAAUGGGUAAAGAAGCACCGGCUAACUACGUG